rnacentral:rRNA from 1 species
UACAGAGGUCUCAAGCGUUGUUCGGAUUCAUUGGGCGUAAAGGGUGCGUAGGCGGCGCGGUAAGUCGGGUGUGAAAUCUUGGAGCUUAACUCCGAAACUGCAUUCGAUACUGCCGUGCUUGAGGACUGGAGAGGAGACUGGAAUUUACGGUGUAGCGGUGAAAUGCGUAGAGAUCGUAAGGAAGACCAGUGGCAAAGGCGAGUUUCUGGACAGUUACUGACGCUGAGGCACGAAGGCCAGGGGAGCAAACGGG